rnacentral:lncRNA from 1 species
UUGUUGGCUAUAAGUGAUGAUAUGGUUGUGUCAUAUACUUGUUCACAUGUUUAUGGGUAUGAUUGGGCAUUUAGGGCUGAGUUCAGGAGGUAUAGUUACUGGUUUUGUAGUGUGAAAAAUAAGAUACAAAGUUGAAGAAUAAGGUUAAUCAUACUUAUUGCCAUUGAAAGAAAAGGAAAGAAACAAAGCACAUGGGUCAUGAUGUAUGAUUGCUUCCUUGAUUACUUGGCAACACCAAUACACAUAAUCCCGUUUCAUCUCAUAACUCUUUAUUAAAAUAUGUAACUUAUUGAUUGUUAUCAUGAAAGUUGUUGGAUGAAUCUAGUAAUUGCUAUGUUGAUGACUUAGAAAAUUUAGAAAGUAUAACCAGUUUUAAACUUAACAAGCAGACCCAACAAAGUUUUUAAUCAACAAUAUGAUGACCAUGUUCAGAAAGCUAACACAAGUAUUAGGACUUAUCAUAAUGUUCUCAAAUAAGCUUUUCAUCCUCUCAUAAUUUCAUUAACCAAUGCUACAUGCUAAUAAGAUAAUCAAACAAUAAUGUGAACAUUUGUGAAAUAGUGGACCCCACUUAAGUGCACUAAUGAGUCUUUUGUUUGUUGAAAUUAGUUGACUCCAUGUAAGUCAAUUUAGAAGUUAACAUAGUCGUUCUAGAACAUUUUACACUUUGAAUUAUGUUCUUGUGUUGUAUUUUCAUUGACUAAUUUUUUUUGUACUGGUGUCUCUUUUGGUGGAUAGAGGGAGUAUCUGUUAUCUUAAUAUAUUAUAUUUUGAUGCUGGAUAUUUUGAUGUUGGAUUGCCACAAGCUUGCGAAAUUUAUUAUUAUAAGAGCAUCCAGGUGUCUAGGACUUUUUCGUUUCUUUGUCCAAUGUUGGAUGAUUUAUGGUUGAUGUAUUACUGCCAUAAGGUCUCUCUGAAUGUUUCAGUAACUUGUCAUGCACACUCAUUAUCUAGUGGUUGCAUAUUUACUUUUUUUGAUUCGUCAUUAUAUAUUAAACAAGACCGCCAAAAUGGAUGGGCUCCUAUGUACAAUAUAUUUUUGGCACAAGGAGAAAUAAAAAGACCUCCAAAUGCCUCAAAAGGGAAAACACAAAAGAAACCCUACACCCCAUACAACCAAACACUCUAGUAGCACCCUUUAAAUUAUGAUCACAUAUUAUAAUGUUGGCAUUAGAUCUGGCUAGAGUAUUUGUUGGCACUUUAUGCCUUUGUUCAGGUCAUUAAUGUAAUACUAUUUUCGGUGCUUACUUCUUAGAUAUGNN